UAAUAAAAAAUAGGAAGAACCUUAUCGCUAGAGAGAAAGAAGAUUGAUUUAAUUGAGUAGGACCAUUAACAAAAAUAAGUUUCAUUCAUGUACCAGCUCUUUUUAAAAAAUAAAUAAAUAAAUGAAUGUUUCUUUUCUUUUUCUUUUUCUUUUUAAUGAAUUUUCGGGCAGAGUUAUUGUAUUUGAGGAUUGAGGGUGGGUCUAGCUUUGUCCUAUGUUACCUAAGCAUUAGUGUAACAUUUUAAUAUUAAUAAAAAUAUUAGAUGUCACAUUAUGUAUCAUUGCUAUGUUUAUUGAUGACUUAAGUCAUCGUUUGCUCCUCAAAGAUGUUCACAUGAUUCACUUAGACACCUCAAUUAAGACUUGUAUCUAUUAAACACUUAAAUUGUUCAAAACAUGUACCUAUUAGACACAAAAUGCUGAUAUGCUGAAAAAUGUGUACUGCACUUUCCUGAAGCGUGUAAAAAAACUUAAAACAAUGUCUAUUUUUUUUUUACAUUUUUUCUUCUUUUAUUGACACUUGGCAUUAUAAUAAACUUAAUUUUUUUCUUCUUCUUCUAUUUACACUUUUUUCAAAAGAGGAAAGCACCCCAUUCCCUACCUAUCAUAUUCUUCAUAAUUUAGUUUAAAAUUUUUUCUUCAUUUUAGCUCCAACAUUGUUUUUUUUUCUUUUUUUUAUAUACAAAAAAUUUAUAUCUUCCAAAUAUGAAGAUAAAUGAAAAUCAAUUAUGAAGAUUCUGAUUUGAAAGAAAGUCUUCGUAUGAUUUAUUUCAAAUCUCAUAAAAAUAAGGAACAAAUAUGAAGAAGAUAAAAGAAGAUAAAAUGAUUUUUACGUGUAAAAAAAGUUAGCCGAUAUUUAUUUAUCACAAUUUUUUAACAAAGAACUUUACUCAAAUUCAUAUGCAUUCAUUAAAUUUAUCAAAAAUGAUAUCAAAAAAUUUGAAAGAAAUAAUUUUGAAGCUAUCAAUUUCAUUUUAUCAUCGAUGUAGAGUUGAAUAAUUGCCAACAAAAUUUUUCUUUCUUCUUCAUUCUUAGUAUGAAAUAUAUAUAUAUAUAUAUAUAUAUAUAUAUAUAUAUAUAUAUAUAUAUAUAUAUAUAUUUCUAUUAUAUAGAAGAGCCAUGAGAAGGACGAUCAAUGACAUUUUAGUAAUUUUAACAUCAUUUAAGGGCAAAAUAAUCAUUGUGUAAUUAAUGGUCAAAAUGAAAAAUCUAGAAGAAUCCAUACAUUCUUAAUUUUUGUUAUGGGCCCAUAAGGAUAUUAUUGUAAUUUUGUUAAAAUGAAGAGUCUCUAUUAAUUAACUUCUUGCAAACAAUAAUGAAUGUUAAGCUUGUUUUACAUAUUUUUGAAAGAAAUUUUGAACUAAUUAAAAUAAAAUGUGUUUGAAUAGUUAAUAUUUUGUUCCUAAAAAUACUUUAAAGGAUUAUUGCGUAAGAUAUUUUGAAUGUUAUGUUACAUAAUAUGACCAUUAAAUUUGUAUCUUGAUUAUAUUAAAAUAGGUUUUUGUAUUAUAUAGAAGAACCACGAGAAGGACGACCAAUGACAUUUUAGUAAUUUUAACAUCAUUUAGGGGCAAAAUAAUAAUUGUGUAAUUAAUUGUCAAAAUGAAAAAUCUAGAAAAAUUUAUAUACGUCUUAAUUUUUAUUAUGGGCCCAUAAGGAUAUUAUUGUAAUUUUGUUAAAAUGAAGAGUUUCUAUUAAUUAAAUUUUUACAAAUAAUAAUUAAAUGUUAAGCCUGUUUUUACAUAUUUUUGAAAGAAAAUUUUGAACUAACUAAAAUAAAUAUGUUUGAAUAGUUAAUAUUUUGUUCUUAAAAAUACUUUAAAGGGUUAUUGCAUAAAGAUAUUUUGAAUAUUAUGUUACAUAAUAUGACCAAUAAAUUCUUAUCUUGAUUAUAUUAAAAUAGUCUUUUAAAUGACGUAUCAUUAUUUUUUAAUUAAUUUGAAGAAAAUAUCAAAUUUCGUGACUAAAAUAAUGAACAAUGUCUAACUAUCAAGAAAUCAAUAAUUUGAUAAUGUAUUCAUUGAAAGAUUAAAAUAUAUAAAAUUUUCAUUUCUAUAUUUUCUUAAUAUCAUAUAUGAUAAAUUAUUUAACGGAAAAAAUUUGACAAGGAAAACGUUAAUCUAUAUUUAAAUUCUUAUGAAUAUUAAAAUUAAACUAAAGAAAAAUGAGUAGUUGAAAAAAAACAAUAAAAGAAAAUGUCGAUAGAAAAAAACUUUGUUGAGAAAUAUAGAGGAAGGAAAAAACUAAUAGAUAAAUAAAUUAGGAAAAAACAAUCGUAAAAAAAUAUAUUGGUUAUUUUGUGGGGGUAAGAUUUAGAGUUUUUUUUACGACAUAAUAUUAGGACCGUAAUAUUUAUUAAUGAUUAAUGUAAUUUAAAAUUUAACAUUACGACAAUUAUUAUUGUAUAUAGAAAUAAAGUUUCUUUCAUGAUCGUUUUUACUGUUGUGGAGUUAAAAAUUACUUUUUUAACAAAUACUUUCAAUAUUUAGAAUAUAACAUUACAAUAAUUGUUAUUGUAUAUAGAAAUAAAGUUACUUUAUUGAUUGUUUUUAUUGUUGUAAAGUAAGAAAUAAUUUUUUUUAGUAUUUCUAUUUAUCGAAGACAAUAACAAAAUGUAUCACAAAAUUCAUCGAGAAAACCACUUACAAACACAGUAUACUUAAGUUGAAGCAAUAGGGAUUUGAAAGACUUUAAAUCGAUCUUUACGAAUUGAUUGUUCAAUGAUUAAUAUUUUAUCAUAUGCAAAACUUAUGGUGCAAAGAUUACAAAACAAAGAUAAUAAUAUUUUGUGGAAAAUAAGUACCACUUGUAAAUAUAUAUGAAGAUCGGUGAACUUUUCAAAGACAUCAGCAUUUUAUAUAUUCCUCGCAACGAAAUGUUUUAACUCAUAAUCUAACACAAUUCUUUAUUUUCUUGCUGCAUAGAAUUUUUUUAGAAUUCAUUUUUUUUCAAUUUAUGUUGAUAAACGACACAUUUAUGUCGUAUGACCAUUUGAAAUAGAUUAUAAAUUAAUAUAUUCAAGUUGUUUACUAAAGUAAAUGUAACGACCUGUUUAGUCGUUUUGAGCAACAGACUUCAAUUCUGGAAAAACAGGCUGAGGCGACGAACCCAACGACGGACCGUCAUGGGCACGACGGACUGUCGCAGGGUCUCGUUUCAAAACACUUAGAAAAUCUGAAAUUGGGUACUAAAAAUCGACUCUCUGAACUUCGUGACGGAAUGGCAGGACGGACCGUCACAGGCGUGACGGACCGUCAUAGAUUGUUCAGUGGAAAUUGACUCUCUGACCCUUGCGACGACCUGCAGGACGGACCGUCGCAGGCACGACGGCCCGUCACAGCUUGCGUAAUCCCAGUUGGAGUCGGAUUUCUGGUUAAGUUUUAAGGGACGUUUUUGACUAUUCUUGCCUUAAUUAUAAAGUUCGUGGGUUUAUAUUAAUAACUCAAAUUCUUGGGGGAUAAAAGAGGUAACCCUAAGUUAAUUAGUGGGUUAUUAUUGCCAUCUUUUAUUCUUAAUUAUAUACUAAUUAGGGUAAAAGAAAGAGGGUUUGAAUAAGAAAAUAGAAAGAACAAGAAGGGAGAGAGAGAGAAACGAUCGAGAAGAAGAGGAAAACACCAAGCUUUGAGGAUUAACUUGCUUGAUUUCAAUUCUUCGGUGGAGGUAGGUUAUGGUUUUCAUGUUUCAUAAGUAAACUCUUAAUAGUGAAUGAUAUGUAUUGGUAGUAUUGUAAACCCUACUAUAUGCUUAAUGGUAUGUUUGCAUGAAUAUGAUUAUGUGAUUGUGAUAAGAUAAGCAUGAUGAAAAUAUUGAAUCCCAAAUCUUGAAAAGAAACUUUAAUAUACAUUAUUAAUGAUGAUGCCUUGGUAUAGAAGAAGGCUUGAUGAAUUAAAGUAAUGGGAUUGAUGAUGCCUUGGAAUAGAGAAGGCUUGAUGAUUUACAGAAUGAUAUUAGUGGAUCGGAGUGUCACGUUCCGACACAUAGUAUUAGGGGAUCGGAGUGUCACGUUCCGACACAUAGUAUUAGUGGAUCGGAGUGUCACGUUCCGACACAUAGAAUUAGGGGAUCGGAGUGUCACGUACCGACACAUGUAGGGGAUCGGAGUGUCACGUUCCGACACAUAGUAGUAGGGGAUCGGAGUGUCACGUACCGACACAUGUAGGGGAUCGGAGUGUCACGUUCCGACACAUGUUGGGGAUCGGAGUGUCACGUUCCGACACAUAGAAUUAGGGGAUCGGAGUGUCACGUUCCGACACAUAGAAUUAGGGGAUCGGAGUGUCAUGUACCGACACAUAGUAGUAGGGGAUCGGAGUGUCACGUACCGACACAAGAGGAGGAAAGAUAAUGAAUCUUGAAAGAUGAUAAUAUACUCAACUUAAUAUACUUAAUUCCCAAAUGAGUAUGGUGUUGAGGCUUGAGCCCUCAUGGAUGAACUUGAUGGUACUUAUUGAUGAUUAUAGUACUUGUUGUUGCUACAUGUUGAGUUUUAUAGUUGAUUUACGAUAAUAUUUGAUAUAUACUGUUCCCUAUUUUGAGUUGGCCGAUGAUAUCUACUCAGUACCCGUGUUUUGUACUGACCCCUACUUUUAUGUUUUUCUUCUUGUUAUUUGUGGAGUGCAGCAAACGUGCCGUCAUCUUCGACUCAACAGUAACUCAAGCCAGUCUUCGUCACACCGGAUCUUCAGGGUGAGCUAACGCUUCUAGCUUGGACUGGAUCUUCUCCUUCAUGUCUUGAUGCCUUGAACUUCCGGCAUGGACUAGCUUCUUAUGUAUUUUUAGCUUCUUAGAAACUCUUAGAAUUAGUAGUUUAAAGUAGAUGUUCUUGUGAUGAUGACUUCCAGGUUUUGGGAAUAAUAGAUGUUGAAUAUUGAUAGUUAUUGAAUUGGUUUUUAUUAAUGAGUUUAAGUCUUCCGCAUUACUUUCUGUUUAUAUUAUAUUGAAAUGUUAAGGUUUAGAUUGGUUGGUUCGCUCACAUAGGAGGGUAAGUGUAGGUGCCAGUCACGGCCCGGAUUUGGGUCGUGACAGUAAAAAAUAGUAUUAAGUACAAAAAUCUCAUGUCUUUGGAGGUUAAUUACAUUAUAUCUGGGAAGUUUUUUCAAUUACAAAAACAAUGAAUUUUUCAUUACUCUCAAAUAUGUUCCUUCGUUGUCCAAUACAUUGCAUAUGACAUAUUACUUUGGGGGAGGGAUGUAUUUAAGAGGGGCUUUGUAUGUAUCCGAGUAAAAAUAGAUGUAUUCAAGAGAAAAUAGGGAAAUAACCAAGAGAGGAUUAUAAUAUCUUAAGUUGUGAAUUUAUAUAAUCUUUUCAACAAAAUAUGUGAAAUUAUAUUGGGCACGUAUCACGGGCCUUAAAUUAUCUAGUGUGUGUGUG
rnacentral:lncRNA from 1 species